ACCGUGUUGUGGGUUUUUUUUGUUUUUUCCCAAUAGAGCGAGGGAUCAAUGAUAAAGGAGCCAUCUUUUUCAGGUGCUGGCUAAUAUGAGGAGAGAAUGUGGGCUGAAUAAUGUGACAUGCAAAGUGCUGGGACUUACAUGGGGUGUUUGGGAUGAACAGAUAUUCACCGUGUGCCCAAAUAUUAUCCUUGGAGCUGAUGUCCUAUAUGAAACAAGUGGUAGUGGGCAUCACCUGAUUGAGUUCUUGAUGGUUAAAUGGGGAUUGAAGUGCAUGAAACUUCUAGAUGGGUUUUCAUUCAUGCCAGCUAACAAGGCAUCUGGAUUAAGUGGGAAUACACAGUUGGUAGACAUAAUUUUGGAUAAUAACAAACUAAGUUAGCAUAUGGUCGUGAUGCUUAUUGAGAAAAAUGUCUUUUAGAGAAAUGGUUGCAAUGUGCUUGGUGAAAGACUUAAAAAAGAGGCCAACUGCAGAGAAACUGUUGAAACAUUCCUUUUUCAAGAAUGCAAAGCCUCCAGGGCUUUCUGUGAAAAAACCCUCUACUGACAUACCUCCGUUGUGGAAUCGUGUCAAGGCAAAUUUGAGUCUUAAGGAUGCCGCAGAACUAGCUUUGAAGAAAAUGCCUUCAGCUGAAUAGGAAGCAUUGUCACAGGUCUGGGGCAUCAGAAGAAUUUACUGGCUGUUUGAUCUUUUUCAUUCUGAGUUGUCAAAGCUCUUUUACUCUUUGAAAGGGAUUUCUACAUUUAAAACAGUGGUAUUUUUUCAGGCAAAAAUAACAAAAGAUGCAAAUAUUUAACUGCUGACCUCCUAUUUUCUUAACAUCUUUUUUCUGUCUUCUUUUUUUCCUUUUAGGUUUCUUAUUAGUUUGCUUUCAUGUGUUGUAGGUGCAAGUUUGGAGAUUUUGUCUUGGAUCACUAACUUUGCAUCAUUUUUUUUCGUUUUUAUUGUUUAGUUCUAUGUUUAGCUUCUUUGUUACAUGUGUUGUGCUGCUUUGGUUUCUUGCUCUUCACAUUAUCCUCAGCAUCCUCUUGCCUACUACUACUGUUCCUUCAAAAAACAGGUAUUCGUUCUUUACCUCCUUUUUUUUUCUUCUUAUUUUUCCUCCAGUGACAUGUUAUAGCUGUGAUAGUUGAUGUGAAACAUUUUUUAUGAUUCUCUUUUAUCAUGCAUGCUACUUCACGUUUAUCCUACAGGGUGGUUUACAUGUCUUGCAUUCCAUUUUUUUCCUGCUUCCUAAGAUUUGAUGGAACUACAUAUAUGGGCAAACAUAGAGAAUGGAAAGAAAUGAACUUUAUCUGUGAUGCCUUCUUCAGAUGAAGAUGCGUCAGAAAAAUUCUGAAUUGAGAAAACAUGACUAUAGAGUUCCAGUUUAAAUGAUAAAAUUAGUGAAAUUGAUUCAUGUAUACAACAAGGGAAUAUGCUUCUUAUACACUACGGGAAAAGUUGUUUUAAAUCUUGAUUCAGUCCACAAUAAGGGAAAGCUACAGACAGUAAGCAAAAUAGAUUUAAAGUUCGUCCUCAAUUUUGUUUUGAACUUGGUAUAUUUUUUUCCCCAUAUGUUUUUUACCUCAAGUAUACAUAAUUUGAUUUUAGUGAACUCUAGACAAAGAUUAAUACGGCACAAGUAUCAUCAUCGAUGAACCAAAAUUUGUUCAAAACUUACCUGAAGGUGUGUGCUUCUAUCAAGUAGUUACCAAACAAAACAACUAUAAAUUUGUAAGUUUGGGGUAUUUUUCAUUUCGUUCUUACCAUUCAUAUUAAAUCACGUUCGUAAUUUUGUCUAAACAACAACAGAAAGUUCCAACAUUUGUUGGAUACUUCAUACAUAGUGACCUGACGCCUUCAAUUACUUUGAGAACUGGAAGGAAAACAAUGACAAUUGAAAUGCGUGAGAGGCAGUUUGCAGAUAGCUGGGAUAUCUUUCUGAUUGAGCAUCAAUUGUAGCCUGGAGAAACAUUAGUCUCUGUUCCUGAUAAAAGAAGUUCCACCUACACUUUCCUCACCUUUGAUAAGGAUGGUGUAGAUGGUCAAUUCCCAUGGUAUAACAUGUUCUAACUGUACUCCAUAAUAGGGAAUACAACAACUUUGAUGUAUCUAAGUAAAUAUCUUCCUCGGAUUGUGUUUGUUAUUCUUUACCAAUUGAUAUAAGCAUUGCAUUUUCGAUGUAUUUGUUUGUUUCUUUUCAAUGUACUCUAUGAGGCUUGCUAAAUAAGACGUUCUUGCUUUCUAAGGCA